AGCCCAGCGCCUCCGGCCUCACAUCCAGCUCUCUGCGCAGCCCGCCGCGCAGCCCGCCGCCCCAGCCAUGGCGAAGCCCCUGACUGACCAGGAGAAGCGGCGGCAGAUCAGCAUCCGCGGCAUCGUGGGCGUGGAGAACGUGGCAGAGCUGAAGAAGAGCUUCAACCGGCACCUGCACUUCACGCUGGUCAAGGACCGCAACGUGGCCACCACCCGCGACUACUACUUCGCGCUGGCGCACACGGUGCGCGACCACCUGGUGGGGCGCUGGAUCCGCACGCAGCAGCACUACUACGACAAGUGCCCCAAGAGGGUUUAUUACCUCUCUCUGGAAUUUUACAUGGGCCGAACAUUACAGAACACCAUGAUCAACCUCGGUCUGCAAAAUGCCUGUGAUGAGGCCAUUUACCAGCUUGGAUUGGAUAUAGAAGAGUUAGAAGAAAUUGAAGAAGAUGCUGGACUUGGCAAUGGUGGUCUUGGGAGACUUGCUGCCUGCUUCUUGGAUUCCAUGGCAACCCUGGGACUUGCAGCCUAUGGAUAUGGCAUUCGGUAUGAAUAUGGGAUUUUCAAUCAGAAGAUCCGAGAUGGAUGGCAGGUAGAAGAAGCAGAUGAUUGGCUCAGAUAUGGAAACCCUUGGGAGAAGUCCCGCCCAGAAUUCAUGCUGCCUGUGCACUUCUAUGGAAAAGUAGAACACACCAACACCGGGACCAAGUGGAUUGACACUCAGGUAUUCAGAGUGCUCGUAUAGCCAUCAUUUUGUAUAGUAUUUAGUACAGUAGCUAAUACAUUGACUAUGUAGCAUAUAGUGGUGAUAUUGAAUACAGGGCAUGUCGUGUAUUGAAUAAUAGAAUAUAUUUUUGUAAAUAAAUCUGUUACUUCUCUUAGCACAGCCCACUCAUUUUGGAGACAAGGGAGCUGAGGCCAAGAGAGGAGUGACUUUUAUAAGGGUCAUUUUGCAACCAGCUUUGUCAGAAAAUUGUCAGUUCUUUUUUUUUUUUUUUUUGCCAGAAAGUUGUCAGUUCUAUAGUAACCAGCAUGCUUACCUCUUUGGUUUUAUAUUAAGGUGUUGAUAGCAAAAUUGAAUAAUUUUAAAUGUCAUUCCUGGCUGGGUGCGGUGGCUCACAACUGUAAUCCCAGCACUUUGGGAAGCCGAAGCGGGCAGAUCACCUGAGGUCAGGAGUUCAAGACCAGCCUGGCCAACAUGGUGAAUCCCUAUCUCUACUAAAAAUACAAAAAUCAGCCCGGAGUGGUGGCCCAUGCCUGUAGUCCCAGCUACUUGGGAGGCUGAGGCAGGAGAAUCGCUUGAACCCAGGAGGUGGAGGUUGCAGUGAGCCGAGAUCAUGUCGCUGCACUCCAGCCUGGGCAACAGAGUGAGACUCCGUCUCAAAAAAAAUAAAAUAAAAUAAAAUAAAAUAAAAUAAAAAUAAAAGUAUGCAGUUUACACAAUCAAUCCUGGAAGCAUUU
rnacentral:sRNA from 1 species